AACUAAGUUUGUUCUUGGUAUGAGCUUUUGUGUGCAUGCACAUGUGUAUCUGAAGAAGUGUGCAUGCACAUGAAAGCUCAUACCAAGAACAAACUUAGUUGG